rnacentral:rRNA from 1 species
UCAGAAUCAACGCGGGCGGCGCGCCUAACACAUGCAAGUCGAACGAGAAAGGGGAGCAAUCCCUGAGUAAAGUGGCGUACGGGUGAGUAACACGUGGAUAAUCUACCUCUUAGUGGGGAAUAACGCUGGGAAACCGGCGCUAAUACCGCAUAAGCUCGAGAGAGGAAAGCAGCAAUGCGCUGAGAGAGGAGUCCGCGGCCGAUUAGCUAGUUGGUGAGGUAACGGCCCACCAAGGCAAAGAUCGGUAGCCGGCCUGAGAGGGCACACGGCCACACUGGCACUGAAACACGGGCCAGACUCCUACGGGAGGCAGCAGUGGGGAAUCUUGCACAAUGGGGGAAACCCUGAUGCAGCGACGCCGCGUGAGCGAUGAAGCCCUUCGGGGUGUAAAGCUCUUUCGGCAGGGAAGAUGAUGACGGUACCUGCAGAAGCAGCUGCGGCUAACUACGUGCCAGCAGCCGCGGUAAUACGUAGGCAGCAAGCGUUGUUCGGAGUUACUGGGCGUAAAGGGUGUGUAGGCGGUUCUUUAAGUUUGGUGUGAAAUCUCCCGGCUCAACUGGGAGGGUGCGCCGAAUACUGAGGGGCUAGAGUGCGGGAGAGGAGAGUGGAAUUCCUGGUGUAGCGGUGAAAUGCGUAGAUAUCAGGAGGAACACCGGUGGUGUAAACGGCUCUCUGGACCGUAACUGACGCUGAGACACGAAAGCGUGGGUAGCAAACAGGAUUAGAUACCCUGGUAGUCCACGCCCUAAACGAUGCAUAUUUGGUGUGGGUCAUUCAGUUGAUCCGUGCCGGAGCUAACGCGUUAAAUAUGCCGCCUGGGGAGUACAGUCGCAGGGCUGAAACUCAAAG